AUAAAUUUCGCGUCCAAUAAAAGGUCGAUUUGAACUGAUAUUUCCUGAGCGUUAAUAGGUUAAUAAAUAACAUA